rnacentral:misc_RNA from 1 species
AAGAUCGGUUCUGCAUUCAUUUUGACAUGAACAUUUCCCUAUCCGUCAACGAUCUUUUAGCUUGCUGUGGUUUUCUGUGUGGUGAUGGUUGUGAUGGAGGCUGGCCUAUCAAUGCAUGGAGAUAUCUUACCCAGAGUGGUGUCGUAACUGAGGAGUGUGAUCCAUACUUUGACGACAUUGGCUGCGCUCAUCCAGGUUGCGAACCUGGAUUUCCUACCCCGAAAUGUACAAGACGUUGUAAAGUUAAAAAUCUCCUAUGGGAAGAGGCUAAACAUUACUCGGUUAAUGCUUACAGAGUGAACCCUACUCCACAUGAUAUCAUGGCAGAGGUUUACA